rnacentral:rRNA from 1 species
UAAGGAAUAUUGGUCAAUGGGCGGAAGCCUGAACCAGCCAUGCCGCGUGCAGGAAGACGGCCCUACGGGUUGUAAACUGCUUUUAUACGGGAAUAAACCUUGAUACGUGUAUCAAGCUGAAUGUACUGUAAGAAUAAGGAUCGGCUAACUCCGUGCCAGCAGCCGCGGUAAUACGGAGGAUCCAAGCGUUAUCCGGAUUUAUUGGGUUUAAAGGGUGCGUAGGUGGCCUGUUAAGUCAGGGGUGAAAGACGGUAGCUUAACUAUCGCAGUGCCCUUGAUACUGAUGGGCUUGAAUGAACUAGAGGUAGGCGGAAUGUGACAAGUAGCGGUGAAAUGCAUAGAUAUGUCACAGAACACCAAUUGCGAAGGCAGCUUACUAUGGUUUUAUUGACACUGAGGCACGAAAGCGUGGGGAUCAAACAGGAUUAGAUACCCGUGUAGUCC